AUUGAACGCUGGCGGCAGGCCUAACACAUGCAAGUCGAACGAGUGGCGGACGGGUGAGUAAUGUCUGGGCAACUGCCUGAUGGCGGGGGAUAACUACUGGAAACGGUCGCUACUACCGCAUUCCAUCAAAUUUGCCCAGAUGGGAUUAGCUUGUUGGUGGGGUAACGGCUCACCAAGGCGACGCUCCCUCGCUGGUCUGAGAGGAUGACCGGCAACACUGGAACUGAGACACGGUCCAGACUCCUACGGGAGGCAGCAGGGGGGAAGAUUGGACAAUGGGCGCAAUCCGGAUGCAGCCAGGCGGGGUGGAUGAAGAGGGCCUUCGGGUGGUAAAGUACUUUCAGCGGGAAGGCGUUACCCGCAGAGGAAGCACCGGCUAACUCCGUGCCAGCAGCCGCGGUAAUUC
rnacentral:rRNA from 1 species